CAGCAGCCGCGGGAAUACGAAGGGGGCUAGCGUUGCUCGGAAUGACUGGGCGUAAAGGGCGUGUAGGCGGUUUUGACAGUCAGAUGUGAAAUUCCUGGGCUUAACCUGGGGGCUGCACUUGAGACGUUAAGACUAGAGUGUGAGAGAGGGUUGUGGAAUUCCCAGUGUAGAGGUGAAAUUCGUAGAUAUUGGGAAGAACACCGGUGGCGAAGGCGGCAACCUGGCUCAUUACUGACGCUGAGGCGCGAAAGCGUGGGGAGCAAACAGGAUUAGAUACCCCCGUAGUCCCUGUCUCUUAUAC
rnacentral:rRNA from 1 species